rnacentral:rRNA from 1 species
UAAACGAUGUCGACUUGGAGGUUGUGCCCUUGAGGCGUGGCUUCCGGAGCUAACGCGUUAAGUCGACCGCCUGGGGAGUACGGCCGCAAGGUUAAAACUCAAAUGAAUUGACGGGGGCCCGCACAAGCGGUGGAGCAUGUGGUUUAAUUCGAUGCAACGCGAAGAACCUUACCUGGUCUUGACAUCCACAGAACUUGGCAGAGAUGCCUUGGUGCCUUCGGGAACUGUGAGACAGGUGCUGCAUGGCUGUCGUCAGCUCGUGUUGUGAAAUGUUGGGUUAAGUCCCGCAACGAGCGCAACCCUUAUCCUUUGUUGCCAGCGGUUAGGCCGGGAACUCAAAGGAGACUGCCAGUGAUAAACUGGAGGAAGGUGGGGAUGACGUCAAGUCAUCAUGGCCCUUACGACCAGGGCUACACACGUGCUACAAUGGCAUAUACAAAGAGAAGCGACCUCGCGAGAGCAAGCGGACCUCAUAAAGUAUGUCGUAGUCCGGAUUGGAGUCUGCAACUCGACUCCAUGAAGUCGGAAUCGCUAGUAAUCGUGGAUCAGAAUGCCACGGUGAAUACGUUCCCGGGCCUUGUACACACCGCCCGUCACACCAUGGGAGUGGGUUGCAAAAGAAGUAGGUAGCUUAACCUUCGGGAGGGCGCUUACCACUUUGUGAUUCAUGACUGGGGUGAAGUCGUAACAAGGUAACCGUAGGGGAACCUGCGGUUG